UAUGGCUUAACCAUAGAACUGCAUUGGAAACUGGUAACCUAGAGUAUGGGAGGGGGAGAUGGAAUUAGUGGUGUAGGGGUAAAAUCCGUAGAUAUCACUAGGAAUACCGAAAGCGAAGGCGAUCUCCUGGAACAAUACUGACGCUAAGGCGUGAAAGCGUGGGGAGCAAACGGGAUUAGAUACCCCGGUAGUCCACGCCCUAAACGAUGUUCACUAGUCGUCGGAAUGCUAGUCAUUUCGGUGAUGCACUUAACAGAUUAAGUGAACCGCCUGGGGAGUACGGUCGCAAGAUUAAAACUCAAAGGAAUAGACGGGGACCCGCACAAGUGGUGGAGCAUGUGGUUUAAUUCGAAGAUACGCGAAGAACCUUACCUAGCCUUGACAUUGAUUGAACACUUUAGAGAUAGAGUGGUGCCCUUCGGGGAACAUGAAAACAGGUGCUGCACGGCUGUCGUCAGCUCGUGUCGUGAGAUGUUGGGUUAAGUCCCGCAACGAGCGCAACCCUCGUCCUUAGUUGCCAGCAGGUUAUGCUGGGCACUCUAAGGAGACUGCCUUCGCAAGGAGGAGGAAGGUGAGGACGACGUCAAGUCAUCAUGGCCCUUAUGGCUAGGGCUACACACGUGCUACAAUGGGGCGUACAGAGAGUUGCGAUACCGCGAGGUGGAGCCAAUCUCAUAAAGCGUCUCUCAGUUCGGAUUGAAGUCUGCAACUCGACUUCAUGAAGCUGGAAUCACUAGUAAUCGUAGAUCAGCAAUGCUACGGUGAAUACGUUCCCGGGUCUUGUACUCACCGCCCGUCACACCAUGGGAG
rnacentral:rRNA from 1 species